rnacentral:lncRNA from 13 species
CUGAGUCUGGGUCUGGCUGAGUAGCCAAGACAGUGUCUUGAUGGGCCUUUAAUAGUCUGUGGGUUCCUCUCUGUUUUCUCACUCACUUUGUCUGGCUUUUGCAUUCUCUCUCUCUCUCUCUCUCUCUGUCUAUCUCUCUCUCUCUCUCUCUCUCUCUCUCUCUCUCUCUCUCUCUCUCUCUCUCUCUCUGUCUCUCUGUCUCUCUGUCUCUCUGUCUCUCUGUCUCUCUGUCUCUCUGUCUCUCUGUCUCUCAGGUCUGGAGGUCAGGCAGCGGUGCUUAGUGCCAGAGGGGGGGCUGUGUUGUCUGUCCUCAGAGCCCAGCAUGGUGCUGCCUCCAUACAAGGAGUGGAGAUGACCAAUCAGUACCUACUGCUCUUCUGCCGGUACCCUUACAAGCGGGACAGUGAGAUCAUUCAUAUUGAGCUGUACAGCACGGCCAGUUUCAAGUACGAGCGCUCCAUCCUGGGCUGCAGCCAGGACGACAUCUCCCAGGUCACCGUCAACCGGACGGGGACGCACGCCGUGGCCUUCUGCCCCUCCCCCCGCACCGGCAUCACGCAGGUCGUGACAUGGAACCUGGAGACAGAGGACCACAAACACAUCGCCCGUUUCCCCGGGAUACUGACUGCAGGUGUGUGCUUGGAACUGCGGUUCUGUGUGGGCGUGUGCAGUGGGGAGAGGUACCCAAGACUGUGGGAUCUGUCCUCCAGGGUCAAUGACCAGACCCUCACCUACAAUGUCCACAAGGUGAAGAGGGACGGCACAGAAGAGGUCAUCCUCAUGGGGAAACGCCCACGCUACGCGGUGUGCAAGUCCCUACGGCCUGGCACGGUACGGGUCUGGAACCUGGCCAGAUCCAGGUUCACAGGUCGACCUGUCAGAGUGGAGCACGGUCUCUAUGGCAACACCGACGUGGCCUUGGCCCACGACCUGAAGCUGUACAUCCUGACAGACAGAGGGACGGCCACCUUCACAGACACCCCCUCGCCCAUAUUCCAGACUCUACUGGUCUAUGACCUGAUCAAGAGAAGCUACGUGAGGAGACAGUCUGGUCUCUACAUCGUCCCCUGUCCCCGACACGAAUACAGGCUUCUGGAGGGGCAGCUACUUCUGGGUCUGUCUGAGACGAGGAACCAUCUGAUUUUGUGGGACCUGGAGUCUGGGUAUAUCAAAGGGAGGAUGAAAGCAUCCCACACAGAGUUUCUCCUGUCCAGCAGCACCGUCAGAGACAGACAGUCCCAGAUACCACCAAAUGAGACCACAGCUCUAGUGAUGCCCUGGGACAGGCGGACAGAGAGCCACUCUGCUAAGUGUAGGAGGCUGGAGAAGGAGGAUCAGAGGGAGAAGGAGGAGCAGCGCAGUCUAGACAGGGAGAAAUACAACUCCAUAGACCAGUACCUUCUCAGUGGGGACCAGCAGGUGGUGGUGUGUUCCUAUUUCUCCCACCACCUCAACGUUUUCAGCGUGAGCUCCCAGGACCACCUCCACACCCUGGAGGAUAGGACGUCCCUGCUGAUCCUCCACACCGCCGCCCUCACACACCCCGGGGGACACCUGGUGCUGGCCAACUACAGCCAAGCUCAGCAUAUACCUUACCUCACCCUCUGGGACCUUCAGAAAGGCACGGUGAGGAAAAGAUUGAAGAACGAGCCAGGAGUCUGUUGUGUGGCAAUCACAGAUGACGCCAGCAGAGUCGCCUUUGGGAUCAGCGGAUGUAACAAGCUUAAAGUUUGGGAUCCCUUCAGGAGGAAUCACAAGACUAUCUCUGGCUACGCCAGCCUGAGACUAGGAGGAUCCAACCAGCUUUAUAUCACUGAGGGAGGAGCCAAAGCCAUUCUACUAGCAGGUGAGCUGAGCCUAUGGGACUUGGAGGCCUGCAACGUCCUCUCUGUCCUUUCCCCAGAUGCCCACAUCCAGUGUCUGACCCUCCUUGGAGGAGACAACAGUAGCACCCUACUGUUGGGCCUUAGCCACAGCCCCGCCCUCGUCGCAGUCAGGCUGACGUCACAGUCACAGGGGGUCGCCGUGGCAACCGGCUCCAGGGACGAAGACGUGUUCUCGGAGUCCAGUAGUAGCGAGGAUGAAGACGAAAAGGACAGUCAGACAUGUAGGACUUGA